rnacentral:rRNA from 1 species
CACCUCAGAUCAGACGAGAUGACCCGCUGAAUUUAAGCAUAUCAAUAAGCGG